CUGGACCAUUGCUAUGAAAGCUAUGCCAAUCCACUGAUGUGUAACAAAUGAACUAGUCAUUAUUGUUAUUAAUAUAAUUAUAAAAUUUAUUAUCAAUCUGUAAAUAUUUUCUUAAAUAAGGGAAUUUUAUGCCAUAUAAUACAACGGUCUGCAGAAAACAACAGGAAACUAAAGGACAACCAACAGUCUACAAAACACAACAGGAAACUAAACUAAACGACAAGCAGUAGUCUACAAAUAAAAAAAAGGAAACUGAAGGACAUUCAACAGUCUAUACAAACUAAAACCAAAACAGGAAACUAAAGGACAAGCAUAAGUCAACAAAACACAACAGGAAACUGAAGGCCAACCAACUGUCUACAAACCAAAACAGGAAACUACAGGCCAAGCAACUGUCUACAAAACACAAAAAGAAAUUAAAAGACAAGCAGCAGUCUACAAAACAUAACAGAAAACUAACGGACAAGCAACUGUAUACAAAACACAACAGGAAACUAAAGGACAAGCAACAGUCUACAAAACACAACGGGAAAUUAAAGGAAAAACAAAAAUCUACCAACACAACAGGGAACUAAAGGACAAGCAACUGUCUUCAAAAGCCAAUAGACAAGUUCCUAUAGUAAGAGGUUUACACCACACAUAUAGAGUUGUCAGCCAAUAGACAAGUUCCUAGUAAGAGCUCUGCAUGGCACCUUAGAGUAAUCAGGCAAUAGACAAGUUCCUAGUAUGAACUCUGCACCACACGCAUAGAGUUGUUAGCUAAUAGACAAGUUAAUAGAUAUUAAAAGGGAAACACAAG
rnacentral:lncRNA from 1 species